AUGUCGAUCUCCCCCCUCCAACCAGCGCCUCCCCUGAUUCCCUCGUCCACCUCCUGCAGCCCCGAGCGCCCGAGGCCCCAACAACCCGUGCACCAGCCGGCCACCGAAGCUCCUCCGCGGCCUCCUUCCUCGCCCGACGACCACCCCCAGGAACUCGCAUCGCCCCCUCCGUUUCCUUUCCCUUCCUUUCCCUGUUUUCUUCUCUUCGCUAACCACUCCCUCUCCUCGUGUGCUGUUUUAGAGGGAGCGCCAUGGCCUCCUCCGAUCGAUCCUCCGAUGCCUCCCCGAGCCUGCGGCAUACCUAGCUCCUCAUGCCCGAGGGCCUCGCGCGCGAGCUCGACCCCGAGCGCGCCUGAGAGGAUCUUCCUCCCGCUGGCCUCCUCUGCGCCAAGUCCAUCGCCGUCACCGUCCCGUCGUCAGACCCCCAUUCCUGCUGCUCCUCGCCGUUGUCAACUUCCGGUGCGCCGCCAACGACAGUUCCAGCCUCUGCUUUGA
rnacentral:rRNA from 1 species